rnacentral:rRNA from 1 species
UACGUAGGCAGCAAGCGUUGUUCGGAAUUACUGGGCGUAAAGAGUGUGUAGGCGGUGUUCUAAGUUUGUCGUGAAAUCUCCCGGCUUAACUGGGAGGGUGCGGCGAAAACUGGAAUGCUAGAGGAUGGGAGAGGUAAGCGGAAUUCCUGGUGUAGCGGUGAAAUGCGUAGAUAUCAGGAAGAACACCCGUGGCGAAGGCGGCUCUCUGGAACGCAACUGACGCUGAGACGCGAAAGCGUGGGGAGCAAACAGG